rnacentral:rRNA from 1 species
GUGCCAGCAGCCGCGGUAAUACGUAGGGGCCGAGCGUUGUCCGGAGUUAUUGGGCGUAAAGCGCGCGCAGGCGGCUUCGCGCGUCCGACGUGAAAGCCCCCGGCUCAACCGGGGAGGGUCGUUGGGUACGGCGGAGCUUGAGGGCGGUAGAGGUUGGUGGAAUUCCCGGUGUAGUGGUGAAAUGCGUAGAGAUCGGGAGGAACACCUGUGGCGAAGGCGGCCAACUGGGCCGACCCUGACGCUGAGGCGCGAAGGCGUGGGGAGCGAACGGGAUUAGAUACCCCGGUAGUCC